rnacentral:rRNA from 1 species
AAUAUGGCACAAUGGGCGAAAGCCUGAUGCAGCAACGCCGCGAGAGUUAUUAAGGCAUUCGGGUCNUCAUUCUCUUUGAUCAGGGANGAUAAUGACAGUACCUGAAAAACAAGCAACGGCUAACUACGUGCCAGCAGCCGCGGUAAUACGUAGGUGGCGAGCGUUGGCCGGAAUUACUGAGCGUAAAGGAUGCGUAGGUGGAUAUUUAAGUGGGAUGUGAAAGCCCCGGGCUCAACCCGGGAACUGCAUUCCACACUGGGUAUCUAGAGUGCAGGAGAGGAAAGCAGAAGUCCUAGUGUAGCGGUGAAAUGCGUAGAUAUUAGGAAGAACACCAGUGGCGAAGGCGGCUUUCUGGACUGUAACUGACACUGAGGCAUGAAAGCGUGGGUAGCAAACAGG